AGAUUUCCGAAUGGGGGAACCCACUAUCUUUAGUCGGAUAGUAUCCUUACGUGAAUACAUAGCGUAAGGAAGGCAGACCCAGGGAACUGAAACAUCUAAGUACCUGGAGGAAGAGAAAGAAAAAUCGAUUUCCUGAGUAGCGGCGAGCGAAACGGAAAGAGCCCAAACCAAGAAGCUUGCUUCUUGGGGUUGUAGGACACUCUAUACGGAGUUACAAAAGAAAGUUAUAAAUGAAGCGGUCUGGAAAGGCCCGCCAAAGACGGUAACAGCCCGGUAGUUGAAAUGGCUUUCCCUCCAGAGUGGAUCCUGAGUACGGCGGAACACGUGAAAUUCCGUCGGAAUCCGGGAGGACCAUCUCCCAAGGCUAAAUACUCCCUAGUGACCGAUAGUGAACCAGUACCGUGAGGGAAAGGUGAAAAGCACCCCGGAAGGGGAGUGAAACAGUUCCUGAAACCGUGUGCCUACAAGUAGUUAGAGCCCGUUAAUGGGUGAUAGCGUGCCUUUUGUAGAAUGAACCGGCGAGUUACGAUUUGUUGCAAGGUUAAGCGGAAAAAGCGGAGCCGUAGCGAAAGCGAGUCUGAAUAGGGCGCAUAAGUAACAGGUCGUAGACCCGAAACCAGGUGAUCUACCCAUGUCCAGGAUGAAGGUAAGGUAAUACUUACUGGAGGUCCGAACCCACGCACGUUGAAAAGUGCGGGGAUGAGGUGUGGGUAGCGGAGAAAUUCCAAUCGAACUUGGAGAUAGCUGGUUCUCUCCGAAAUAGCUUUAGGGCUAGCCUCGAGGUAAAGAGUCAUGGAGGUAGAGCACUGUUUGGACUAGGGGCCCUUCUCGGGUUACCGAAUUCAGAUAAACUCCGAAUGCCAUGUACUUAUACUCGGGAGUCAGACUGCGAGUGAUAAGAUCCGUAGUCGAAAGGGAAACAGCCCAGACCACCAGUUAAGGUCCCCAAAUAUAUGUUAAGUGGAAAAGGAUGUGGGGUUGCUUAGACAACCAGGAUGUUGGCUUAGAAGCAGCCACCAUUGAAAGAGUGCGUAAUAGCUCACUGGUCGAGUGACCCCGCGCCGAAAAUGUACCGGGGCUAAACAUAUUA
rnacentral:rRNA from 1 species